rnacentral:snoRNA from 2 species
GCCUGUAUCGAAAGUGACCAUGGCAUGACUGUUGCCAUUGAUAGUACAGGAACAGUGAUCUGAAAGCUUUUCCCGUGUUUGUUGGAAUAACUUCCUGUCAAACCCUGUGUCUUUCAAACA